rnacentral:rRNA from 1 species
UACAGAGGUCCCAAGCGUUGUUCGGAUUCAUUGGGCGUAAAGGGUGCGUAGGCGGCGCGGUAAGUCGGGUGUGAAAUCUCGGGGCUUAACUCCGAAACUGCAUUCGAUACUGCCGUGCUUGAGGACUGGAGAGGAGACUGGAAUUUACGGUGUAGCGGUGAAAUGCGUAGAUAUCGUAAGGAAGACCAGUGGCGAAGGCGGCUCUCUGGGACGGUACUGACGCUGAGACGCGAAAGCGUGGGGAGCAAACAGG